rnacentral:rRNA from 1 species
UACGGGAGGCAGCAGUGGGGAAUAUUGCACAAUGGGCGAAAGCCUGAUGCAGCUAUGCCGCGUGUAUGAAGAAGGCCUUAGGGUUGUAAAGUACUUUCAUCGGGGAGGAAAAACAAAACUAAUAAUUUUAUUUCUUGACGUUACCCGAAAAAGAAGCACCGGCUAACUCCGUGCCAGCAGCCGCGGUAAUACGGAGGGUGCUAGCGUUAAUCAGAAUUACUGGGCGUAAAGAGCACGUAGGUGGUUUUUUUAAGUCAGAUGUGAAAUCCCUGGGCUUAACCUAGGAACUGCAUUUUGAAACUGAAAUACUAGAGUAUCGUAGAGGGAGGUAGAAUUCUAGGUGUAGCGGUGAAAUGCGUAGAUAUCUGGAGGAACACCUGUGGCGAAAGCGGCCUCCUAAACGAAUACUGACACUGAGGUGCGAAAGCGUGGGGAGCAAACAGGGAUUAGAUACC